AGAGGGCUAUCAGCGCAUGCCACGUUAGGCAAAAUUGUUUUCAUGCCCUCCUGUGGGCAUAUUUGUAAAUCUAUGGUGACUAUUUUGCCUCCCGUUUCAGAGUGACUUAUUGGCAGUAAUUUCCCCUCAUGUGAUUACAGAUGCAAGAUGCACAACAUUCAAGAAAUAAGCUGGCACAAAAUCGCUAGUAACUUGGCAACGGUCGGGUCGGUGUGCAGUCACUGUUAACUGAAAUGGCCGAACUCUUGUCUAUCAAUGUGCUCUGCUCACUGCGCUUCCCAACUGCAAAUAGGACUGUGAGCUUUCCAAAGGGUUAUAAUAGAAUGAGCAGGCAGCUGGUCCUCUUGGUUAAACAUGAACAGGCUGCUCUUUGACAGGACUGUCACCAACAGUCAGCGUAAGUCCCAGUGAGCCUGGUCUCACUCAAACAAACAAGAGGAUCAUAUCAGGGAUCUUUAAAGCUCUUCUGGCAACGAAUCCAAGCUUACUGAUGUAAGAUACGCAGAUGCUAGCAUCUCUGAAGUCUGAUAAUGUAUCUUGCCUGCAGCACCCAGCCAGCAGUCUUCUUACCAACGCUGUCAGUUAGCACCAAUACCGAGCUGUCAGCACAACUGAGCACCACGCUGCAAGACGUUUCUGCUGUAUGCCAUGGGGAUGGCAGGUUCAGGUGCGCUGCUCAAGUAAACCAGGGCCAUUGCCACAGGCAAUUUAAUCCUCACCAGCUGAGUCCAUCCACUCCUAAAACUCAAGACUUCUUCUUCGUUCGGAAGGCGCAAAAGCAAAGAAAUGUUCAGUUCAAUGAAGCAUUCUCCUCAGCACAUCAUUUAUGAAGGCUGCAACUAACAAUUUUUGUUGUCAGUUGAUCUGUUGAUUACUUUCUCAAUUAAUCAUUUAGUUGUUUUGUCUAUAAAAUGUAAGUAAAUGGUGAACAAUGUUGACUGGUGUUUCCCAAAGCCCUAGAUGAUGUCUUCAGAUGUCUUGUUUGGUCCAAAACCCAAAGAUAUUCAGUUUAUGGUCGUAAAAGACUAAAGAAACCAGAAAAUAUUCACAUUUAAGAAGCUGGUAUCAGACAAUUUUUACCUUUUUCCCUAAAAAAGUACUCAGAUUAACAGGUUAUCAAAUUA